GAUGCUCGGUCUGUGGCUGAUGAAACUGCUAAGCUGCUAGCUGAAGAUAUAGUUGGUGUGGAGCUUUGAUUUGGUUGAACUGAGGCAACUGAAAAAACAUCUCCAAAGAGUGAAUCGGAUGGAAAUCCAUUUCCUGCAACUGAAACAGCUUUAGGCAUCUUGGCUUCAAGCAGGUUGCCAUGCGACAAAGUUGCAUUAUUU
rnacentral:misc_RNA from 1 species